CCUACGGGUGGCUGCAGUGGGGAAUAUUGGACAAUGGGGGCAACCCUGAUCCAGCCAUGCCGCGUGUGUGAAGAAGGCCCUCGGGUUGUAAAGCACUUUCAGUGAGGAAGAACGCCUGGUGGUUAAUACCCAUCAGGAAAGACAUCACUCACAGAAGAAGCACCGGCUAACUCCGUGCCAGCAGCCGCGGUAAUACGGAGGGUGCGAGCGUUAAUCGGAAUUACUGGGCGUAAAGCGCGCGUAGGUGGCUUGAUAAGCCGGUUGUGAAAGCCCCGGGCUCAACCUGGGAACGGCAUCCGGAACUGUCAAGCUAGAGUGUAGGAGAGGAAGGUAGAAUUCCCGGUGUAGCGGUGAAAUGCGUAGAGAUAGGGAGGAAUACCAGUGGCGAAGGCGGCCUUCUGGACUGACACUGACACUGAGGUGCGAAAGCGUGGGUAGCAAACAGGAUUAGAUACCCCGGUAGUC
rnacentral:rRNA from 1 species